CACGUAGUUAGCCGUGGCUUCCUCGUCAGGUACCGUCAAGGUACCGUCCUGUUCGAACGGUACUUGUUCUUCCCUGACAACAGAGCUUUACGAUCCGAAGACCUUCUUCGCUCACGCGGCGUUGCUCCGUCAGACUUUCGUCCAUUGCGGAAGAUUCCCUACUGCUGCCUCCCGUAGGAGUCUGGGCCGUGUCUCAGUCCCAGUGUGGCCGGUCACCCUCUCAGGUCGGCUACGCAUCGUCGCCUUGGUGAGCCGUUACCUCACCAACUAGCUAAUGCGCCGCGGGCCCAUCCUGCAGUGACAGCUAAAAGCCGCCUUUCAACCGAAACCAUGCGGUUUUCGGUGUUAUCCGGUAUUAGCUCCGGUUUCCCGAAGUUAUCCCAGUCUGCAGGGCAGGUUGCCCACGUGUUACUCACCCGUCCGCCGCUAACCUAAAGGAGCAAGCUCCCUUCGGUCCGCUCGACUUGCAUGUAUUAGGCACGCCGCCAGCGUUCGUCUCGAGCGCGAGUCAACUAC
rnacentral:rRNA from 1 species